rnacentral:rRNA from 1 species
UACGGGGGGAGCAAGCGUUGUUCGGAUUUACUGGGCGUAAAGGGCGCGUAGGCGGCGCAACAAGUCACUUGUGAAAUCUCCGGGCUUAACCCGGAGCGGCCAAGUGAUACUGUCGUGCUAGAGUGCGGAAGGGGCUACUGGAAUUCUCGGUGUAGCGGUGAAAUGCGUAGAUAUCUGGAGGAAUACCGGUGGCGAAGGCGGCAUCCUGGACCGACAUUGACGCUGAACGGCGAAAGCUAGGGGAGCAAACGGG